UGGUGACUAUAGCAAGGAGGUCACACCUGUUCCCAUGCCGAACACAGAAGUUAAGCUCCUUAGCAUCGAUGGUAGUCG
rnacentral:rRNA from 1 species